rnacentral:misc_RNA from 1 species
GCCCCCGGCGAGGUCGCCGCGAUCUGAGCGCGUUCGUCGUGCGUUCGUUGCGCCUUGGUCGGGCGUUGGUGGAGCGUUCGUGGACAUGGCGCGCGCUUCCACGGGCGCCUCGCGCCGGCGGCGCGGCCCUCUCGCCGCGCCG